rnacentral:ncRNA from 1 species
AACUGAAAAAGGCAAACUUGUCGAAAGGCAAGGACGCAAAGUUAUGGGCCUAAUGUUGGAGAAAACGAUGGCUGCCAGACCGCCGGA